rnacentral:rRNA from 1 species
CAAUUGGCGAACUGCUCAGUAACACGUGGACAACCUGCCCUUAGGUUGGGUAUAAACCCGGGAAACUGGGUAUAAUACCCGAUAGGUCUCGAUUGCUGGAAUGCAUCGAGAUUUAAAGCUCCGGCGCCUAAGGAUGGGUCUGCGGCCUAUCAGGUAGUAGUGGGUGUAGCGUACCUACUAGCCUACGACGGGUACGGGUUGUGAGAGCAAGAGCCCGGAGAUGGAUUCUGAGACACGAAUCCAGGCCCUACGGGGUGCAGCAGGCGCGAAAACUUUACAAUGCUGGCAACAGCGAUAAGGGAACCUCGAGUGCCAGGUUACAAAUCUGGCUGUCGAGAUGCCUAAAAGGCAUUUCAUAGCAAGGGCCGGGCAAGACCGGUGCCAGCCGCCGCGGUAACACCGGCGGCUCGAGUGGUAACCGUUAUUAUUGGGUCUAAAGGGUCUGUAGCCGGCCGGAUAAGUCUCUUGAGAAAUCUGGCAGCUUAACUGUCAGGCUUUCAGGAGAUACUGUCUGGCUCGAGGCCGGGAGAGGUGAGAGGUACUUCAGGGGUAGGGGUGAAAUCUUGUAAUCCUUGAAGGACCACCAGUGGCGAAGGCGUCUCACCAGAACGGACCUGACGGCAAGGGACGAAAGCUAGGGGCACGAACCGGAUUAGAUACCCGGGUAGUCCUAGCCGUAAACGAUACUCGCUAGGUGUCGGCCACGGUGCGACCGUUGUCGGUGCCGUAGGGAAGCCGUGAAGCGAGCCACCUGGGAAGUACGGCCGCAAGGCUGAAACUUAAAGGAAUUGGCGGGGGAGCACCACGACGGGUGGAGCUUGCGGUUUAAUUGGAUUCAACGCCGGG